rnacentral:rRNA from 1 species
GACGAACGCUGGCAGCGUGCUUAACACAUGCAAGUCGAACGAUGAAGCUAGAGCUUGCUCUGGUGGAUUAGUGGCGAACGGGUGAGUAACACGUGAGUAACCUGCCCCGAACUCUGGGAUAACUGCUGGAAACGGUAGCUAAUACUGGAUACGACCAACGAAGGCAUCUUCUGUUGGUGGAAAGAAUUUCGGUUCGGGAUGGACUCGCGGCCUAUCAGCUUGUUGGUGAGGUAACGGCUCACCAAGGCGACGACGGGUAGCCGGCCUGGGAGGGUGAUCGGCCACACUGGGACUGAGACACGGCCCAGACUCCUACGGGAGGCAGCAGUGGGGAAUAUUGCACAAUGGGCGCAAGCCUGAUGCAGCAACGCCGCGUGAGGGACGACGGCCUUCGGGUUGUAAACCUCUUUUAGUAGGGAAGAAGCGAAAGUGACGGUACCUGCAGAAAAAGCACCGGCUAACUACGUGCCAGCAGCCGCCGUAA